GCCGCCGUGGACCGUGGUGGAUCGUCCUUGCCUUGUCAAGCACUGCUAGAAGUCUGGAGAAAGGCGUGGGUUCAACUCCCACCGGCGGCA